rnacentral:SRP_RNA from 1 species
GCCGGGCGUGGUGGCUCAUGCCUGUAAUCCCAGCACACUGGGAGGCCGAGGUGGGAGGAUCACCUGAGCUCAGGAGUUCGAGACCAGCCUGGCCAACAUGGUGAAACCCCAUCUCUU